AGGCAGCAGUGGGGAAUAUUGCACAAUGGGCGCAAGCCUGAUGCAGCCAUGCCGCGUGUGUGAAGAAGGCCUUCGGGUUGUAAAGCACUUUCAGUCGUGAGGAAGGUGGUAGUGUUAAUAGCACUAUCAUUUGACGUUAGCGACAGAAGAAGCACCGGCUAACUCCGUGCCAGCAGCCGCGGUAAUACGGAGGGUGCGAGCGUUAAUCGGAAUUACUGGGCGUAAAGCGCAUGCAGGUGGUUUGUUAAGUCAGAUGUGAAAGCCCGGGGCUCAACCUCGGAAUUGCAUUUGAAACUGGCAGACUAGAGUACUGUAGAGGGGGUAGAAUUUCAGGUGUAGCGGUGAAAUGCGUAGAGAUCUGAAGGAAUACCGGUGGCGAAGGCGGCCCCCUGGACAGAUACUGACACUCAGAUGCGAAAGCGUGGGGAGCAAACAGGAUUAGAUACCCUGGUAG
rnacentral:rRNA from 1 species